CUACAGACACCAUCAAAUUUCUUUGUUCUCUCUCGCACAUGUCGCUCUUCUUUGCCGAUCUUGAUGCUUCAUUAUUGAUUAUUGCUGUUGAAGACAAGAUGAAGACGAGGAUAAUUAUUGAUUAAUCAAUACAGUUUACUCUCCAGACAAUGAAUCAGACAUUCAAGAUCAAGAUCUUGAAGAUCCCAUCGAAUUCUUAUGAUAAAUGGACAUUGUAGAGAGAGAUUGAUUGAUGCAUAAUUUAAAGAGAGAAAGGGUUCGAUAGAAGAGAGAUUGGGGUUGGCGCUGUAGGGGGGCUGCACCAGCGGCUUCGGUUGUCGAUGGUGGUGUCAUGCUCUGAAUUUUAUAGGCAAAGGAUUAAUGACUCUUGGGUUUCACACAGAAUGCAUGUCUGCCACUGCUGGUUCUUAUGGGUACAUUGCACUAGAUCGACCAAGAAGGUAUCUUUUAUGUUGCAGGAUAUGCAUACACACCAAAGGUAUUGCAAGAUAUUAAGAACAAGGGUUACAAAGGAAAAUGGCUUUAAAAGUAGAAAAUUGAAGAUUAUUUACGCUAAAAGAUAUAUUUUGGUGUGUGUUUGUUGGUGUUUGAACCAAUUGUUCCGAAUACCGAUGAGUUUCCAACGGCCUAUCUGACGAAAGGGCAGUAACAGGUUUAGCAUUUGUCUUUAAACCGUGAUGAUCAGCUUCAGGGCUGCCCACCACAGAGGCGGCUCUAUGAUGACCCUGUGGAAAACAACAAAUGGAGGCAUUGCCAGAUGUGCGAAAGGAUGAUCGAAUCAAUGUGUGCGGGCGUGAGUUAUGUUAUUCUUGUGGUGCUAAAUAUGUUGAUAGUAAACUAGCAUUCAGAUGUGUGUCAUCGAAUACUAACGCAGAGACGAAACUGGCGAUUUUUCUUUGACUCGGGGUUCCAGCCCUGCACUAGAGUCAUUGGAGUCAUCAACAUUCAACACCAACCACAUCUACUUCCACUUUAGUUGAUAUUCAGGUAUGCUUGAGAUAUGAAGAUUGUCCAAAGCCAGAUUCCGAUAUCUGAGCAGAUGGUGAUUUCCAGACUACGAUCCCAGCACAUUGAAAGGGGGAGUCUGAAGACAUCAAGAUAGAGAUUGAGUAAGGAUGCUUACAAUGGAGAAUAUUUCGAAGAGAAGCACAAAGACUGAUAAAGAUUGAAGGUUUGAAAACCUAAGACUCGACACUGAAGACUCCGUCAACAUCAGAGGGGUAGUUUGUUGGUGCAUCCGUCUGUCGACUUCGUCUUGUAUCGAGUCUUGUAUAGAAAUAGGUAGUUUAGGGCUCGGGAAUCAAGAUAGUGGUAAUUGUAGGUGAUUCCGCUU
rnacentral:lncRNA from 1 species